UAUUAUCUCUGUUUCAGACCAGUGGGGUAUACAAUUAUUACAUUCUUUGUAUAUGUAAUUGUAUACCCCACUGGUCUGAAACAGAGAUAA
rnacentral:pre_miRNA from 1 species